CCUACGGGUGGCAGCAGUGGGGAAUAUUGGACAAUGGGCGCAAGCCUGACCCAGCAACGCCGCGUGAAGGAAGAAGUCUUUCGGGUUGUAAACUUCUUUUAACAGGGAAGAGCAUAACACGGUACCUCUUGAAUAAGCCACGGCUAACUACGUCACAGCCGCCGCGGUAAUACGUAGGUGGCAAGCGUUCUCCGUUUUUACUGGGUGUAAAGGGCGUGCAGCCGGGAAGACAAGUCAGAUGUGAAAGCCCGCGGCUCAACCGCGGAACUGCAUUUGAAACUGUAUAUCUUGAGUGCAGGAGAGGUAAGCGGAAUUCCUUGUGUAGCGGUGAAAUGCGUAGAUAUAAGGAAGAACACCAGUGGCGAAGGCGGAGGACUGGACGGCAAAUGACGGUGAGGCGCGAAAGCGUGGGGAGCAAACAGGAUUAGAUACCCUGGUAGUC
rnacentral:rRNA from 1 species